rnacentral:rRNA from 1 species
CCUACGGGAGGCAGCAGUGAGGAAUAUUGGUCAAUGGCCGGAAGGCUGAACCAGCCAUGCCGCGUGAAGGUCAGUGCCCUAUGGGCGUUAAACUUCUUUUGUGCGGGAGCAAUAAUGGGCACGUGUGGCCAGACGAGAGUACCGUACGAAUAAGCAUCGGCUAACUCCGUGACAGUAGCCGGGGUAAGAAGGGGGAUGCAAGAGUUAUCCGGAUUUAUUGGGUUUAAAGGGUGCGUUGGGUGGGAGGUAAGGCAGCGGUGAAAUGCCUCCGCUCAACGGGGUGAAGUGCCAUUGAUACUGCCGGGCUGGAAUGCGGAUGCGGUGGGAGGAAUGUGUGGUGUAGCGGUGAAAUGCAUAGAUAUCACACAGAACACCGAUUGCGAAGGCAUCUCACGAAUCCGCGAUUGACGCUGAUGCACGAAAGCGUGGGUAUCAAACAGGAUUAGAUACCCUUGUAGUC